GUGGGGAAUUGUUCGCAAUGGGCGCAAGCCUGACGACGCAACGCCGCGUGGAGGAUGAAGAUCUUCGGGUCGUAAACUCCUGUCGAAUGGGAAGAACGUUUCGCGGAUGAAUAAGCCGCGGAAGUGACGGUACCGUUAAAGGAAGCCCCGGCUAACUCCGUGCCAGCAGCCGCGGUAAUACGGGGGGGGCAAGCGUUGUUCGGAAUUACUGGGCGUAAAGGGCUCGUAGGUGGCCAACUAAGUCAGACGUGAAAUCCCCAGGCUUAACCUGGGAACUGCGUCUGAUACUGGAUGGCUUGAAUUCGGGAGAGGGAUGCAGAAUUCCAGGUGUAGCGGUGAAAUGCGUAGAUAUCUGGAGGAAUACCGGUGGCGAAGGCGGCAUCCUGGACCGAGAUUGACACUGAGGAGCGAAAGCCAGGGGAGCAAACGGGAUUAGAAACCCUAGUAGUCC
rnacentral:rRNA from 1 species